CUUGGACCAACCCAAGAGCCAGAGUCGGGUCGGACCCCAAGAACCAGAAUCAUCACCCGAUUUCCAACACGUAUAUAAAUACUCGAGAACAUCCAGCGAGGCGCCCAAACUACCUCCUGCGACAAAACAUAAUUGAUCAGCAUAUAAUUAUGGUGAUACAUAGAGUCGAGAUGUGUAUAUCGUUGGCGAAGCUCGCAGUGGAGUUCGUUCUCUCCGUGGCGGAAGCUGUCCACGUCGUUCAACGAGACACCAUCGCCGGCGGCGGCGGCGGCGAUGACGUUGUCCUUCUCUUGCCGCAGCUCCGCCGUCCUAGCUACGCUUACUUCAGCGGCGGCGCCCCUUCUUCUUCUGCCGUUUCGGUUCCUUUGGUUGGGUUCCUUCCUUAAAGAGAGAACAAAAAAGUAUUAGUUCAUUUCUUCCUCCUCCCGGAGAAAAACAACGCCGCCGCCGCCGCCGACAAACCGACAAAAGCCCCAGCUGGUUUUAAUUUUCUCCGGUUCGUUGACUUUUCUUUUUUGGGCGGUAUACGGUACUAUAUAUGUACUGUUCACGAUGUAUGUAUAGACGUAUUCUUUAGAGUGAAAAAAAUUAAUGUUAAAAAGAGUCGGCUGCUAUUCUCCUUUCAUCUGCGGUCGGUACUCCAUCUCCUUGCCGCCGGCCGACAACACUUCACCUCUUCAUCGACGGCAGGCUAUAUUGCUUCUUCUUCUUCCGUCUAUGUUCGAAGAACUUCCGAUUUCGCUUCGUUUUAUAAAUUUUCAACGAUUGAGAUUGAAUGGGUGAUUUGAAAAAGAGAAUCGUUUUACGAUAAGACAAAAAUCAUUUGUCUCACCAUUUACGAACGCAACGAGGACAGCCCAAGUAGGAUCUCGGUUGGUCAAGGUCGGAGUUGCCGCCGUGGUUGUUGUUCUCGCUACUGCUAACUGACUCUUUAAUGUCGAAGUUGGCCGCCGUGCAGUUGUCUUCAACCGGCUUAAUUACUGGUGCCAAUGUUCGAUCCUUGAUGCACACCCUUGACAUUACUUGCAGGCUUCUACUCAUAACAAUAAGAGAAGCAGACAAUUAAACCCAUGGUACGAGGAGCUUCUAUGGUAGUCAGCGACCCAUAUCCGAGCUAAUUAUUCAUGAGAUUUGGUAGUUUCUAACCACAUAAGCAAUAACGGGGUUCGCCUCCAAACGGAGGAGCAUGUAUUCAGGAGAUCCGCAAGUUCCUUGUCUUCUUUCCAGAUGUCUUACAGUUAGUACGGCGGGCAGAUAAUGGAGUCGCCCAUUGCGUGACUCGCAUGGCCCUUAAAUAUUUCCUCGGAAUAUUGCCGGUAACCCUUCUUCCGUAAAUUGAUUAAGUAUUUUUUUAUCUUUAUGCGUUAUUUUUUUAUUUGUGCCCGGAGCCUAUCUAUAAAAUAAGUGUAACGUUGUUUGCUUGUUUAACGUAUAUAUAGUAGGGACCAGGAAUAUUAUCCACAUACAUAUAGUUGCUAAUUAAUCACACUAACAAAUUAACCCAUCUAGUCAUAUGUUUAUAAUCUAACGUGUAAAGUGCAAAGUGGUUAUAUAAUAAUCGAUAUCAAAAGUCUUAUUAAUAAAUUGCACUUUUUUUUAUUAAAGUUAUGUGAAUAAAAUCAUGCAACGCAAGUUGGCUAACCCCUGUCGUGACACAUUUACAAAUAAAUUAAAUAUAUGCAACUCUCAAAUCUCAAUCAAUUACCAAUCAACUUGUGAUUGUGAUGUUGUCCACUAAAAUAAAUAAAUUAUCACCAUACAUAUAAUUAAUGGUUCGUAAACCAAUUUGAACCGGCUAAUUCAAAUGGUUCACUGUACUUGUAGUGAAUAUAGGGUUUCGUCUCGGAUACUUGCCAAACUCUCGACUACAUAAAGACAAAUAAAAGUACGCAUAUAUAUUUUAUGAUUUAGUGGUUCGAUUCAUUAUCCUUGUACAUACAUAGAAUAACAUUUCCCGAAUUCAAUUUAUUGGCAUUUACAUAUCGGAAAGAAAAACUAAUGAUAUUUUCAAUUGACUCGGUCCGACAAUUGUUCCACCCAAAAAAUAAAACAACAACAUGAUUGGGAAAGAAUAUCCCAUCUGGUAUUCUGAUUCGUACAUUUCUUUCAAUACAGAUAAGAUCAUAUAAUUAAAUAUCCGUCCCUUCGCGCAACCAAAGAGGCAGAGUUGGAAUCGAACCCAGAAUCAAAAAUCAAUCCGAUUUUCAACACAUAAAACACUCGUACGAGCAUCGUAAUAAGAAGCAUCCAGACAUUCAACAGCCAGUAAAUCCUAGUAGUGAAUUUCUUAUUUCUUGCACUUUCGGCUUAAUUAUAACUACUAUGGUGGUGAUACACAGAGUGGAGAUGUGCAUUUCGCUGGGGAAGCUCGCUGUGGAGUUCGUGCUCUCCGUGGCGGAAGCUGUCCACGUCGUUCAACGGGACACACUCGCCGGCAGCGGCGGCGGCGAUGAAGUGAUCCUCUUGCCGCAGCUCCGCAGCCGGAGUCCUAGCUAUGCUUAUGCUUACUCCGGCGGCAUUUCUGAGUCCGCCGUUUCGGUUCCCUUCGUUGCGUUUUUUCCUUAGAGGCUAAGGAGAGAAAAGACGGACAAUUCAUUUCUUCCUCCGCCGUAGAGUCGCCUGAAAGACCGCCGCCGCCGACAAACCGACAAAAGCCCCAGCUGCUUUAAUUUUGAAUUUUUUUUUCUCGUAUUUGUUGAAUGUUUUUUCUUGGGCGCGGCGGUAUACGGUACUGUGUACGUAACGUAUGUAUAAACGUAUUCUUUUUUCCUUCCCUUCGUUUAGUUUGGAGGACAUAAUAAUAAAAUCUAAUCUCUUUUAAAAAUAGUGGUUUUUUAAUGGCUCAUAUCAUUGGACCGAUCAUUAUAUGUUAUUAUACGAGUAUUUUAUCAAUAGGUCGCAACUAUUUUUUACGAAACAUAAUUAAAGUUUGAUACGAUUUGAUUUCGUUAUGAUGUUCUUGAUGUUUUAAAAGAUCGGACAGUUUCAUAAGAACGAGACGAAGAAGAAGAAGGUGAUAUCAAAAUGACAAUUAACACACAUAUAUAUGGCAACAAAUGUUACAUAAAUAAUUAGAAAUGAACACAUGAUCGUCUUUCUCACAACAAUGAGUGGUGUUUUUCUCAUUCUCUGUUAACUUAAUUUUUGUGAAUUAG
rnacentral:lncRNA from 1 species